rnacentral:pre_miRNA from 1 species
CUGAAUGGAUGAGUAAAGAAAGUGGUUUCUUGACAUGGAAUCUACUCCUAGUGAGGAUGCUGUGGA